GAUGAACGCUGGCGGCGUGCCUAAUACAUGCAAGUCGAGCGAACAGACGAGGAGCUUGCUCCUCUGACGUUAGCGGCGGACGGGUGAGUAACACGUGGAUAACCUACCUAUAAGACUGGGAUAACUUCGGGAAACCGGAGCUAAUACCGGAUAAUAUAUUGAACCGCAUGGUUCAAUAGUGAAAGACGGUUUUGCUGUCACUUAUAGAUGGAUCCGCGCCGCAUUAGCUAGUUGGUAAGGUAACGGCUUACCAAGGCAACGAUGCGUAGCCGACCUGAGAGGGUGAGCGGCCACACUGGAACUGAGACACGGUCCAGACUCCUACGGGAGGCAGCAGUAGGGAAUCUUCCGCAAUGGGCGAAAGCUUGACGGAGCAACGCCGCGUGAGUGAUGAAGGUCUUCGGAUCGUAAAACUCUGUUAUUAGGGAAGAACAAAUGUGUAAGUAACUAUGCACGUCUUGACGGUACCUAAUCAGAAAGCCACGGCUAACUACGU
rnacentral:rRNA from 1 species